rnacentral:lncRNA from 1 species
UAAAAAGCGCUGCACUUUCUCUCUUGACAAUCCCGACACCUGAGUGCUUCCUACGUAUGACAGUUAGCACAUUCUGGUUGCUCAGUGGCCUGUGAGAAAUGAGCCUCUUCUCAAUUUAGUUCCUAUCAUCAGACAAGCGGUACACACAAUAAAAAACACACCUUGACAGUCAGCCCCCAAAGUAGCCCUAGGGACCGAGGGUCUGGACUUCCCUUUUUCUCAUACACAAACCCCAUAAAAGUGAUAUAAUUUAUUGGGCUGGAUUCUGCUCCCUACUACCUUCAAGUAAAUCAGGAUAACUCCACUGAGGUCAAAGAGUCACUCUGGUUCAGUGUCAAAGCACAGAAUAGCCUAGGGGAGCAGAGCCUUUCCAGACUCCACCAUGUUUCUUCUCUAGAUGGAGCUUGUCAAGCUCUCCUGACUUGCAUUGACAUCCAUGGCCUGUCACAAGGUCCCCUCAAUCAGGACAGGGUAAAAGCACAUUAGAAUCAUAGAAUACCAGGUUAGAAGGGACCUCAAGGAUCAUCUGGUCCAACCUUUCUUGGCAAAAGCACGGUCUAGACAAGGUGGACCAGCAGCACCCUGUCCAGCUGAAUGGGGAAUCCACCACUUCCUGGAAAGAUUAUUCUAAUGGCUGAUUCUUCUCUUCGUGAAAAUUUUUUCUCUUGUGUCCAAUGGGAAUCUCUCCCAGAGUAACUUGUACCAUUAGCCCUCAUCUUUUCUGUGUGACUCCUUGUAAAAAGGCAGCCUCCAUCUUCUUUAUAGACACUUGGUGAUAAGGUCUCCCCUAACCCUUCUUAUCUCAAGGCUGAACAAAUCCCAUUCUCUCGGCCUUUCCUCAUACAGCAAGCUUCCCAGUCCUUUGAUCACCUUGGUGGCUCUUCUCUGGACUCUCUCCAGUCUGCCCACAUCUUUUUUGUACAGGACAAAGCUGAACACACUAUUCCAGGUGUGGCCUGACAAGCCCUGAGCAUUUGGUCCAGGAACUGGCCUUCCUGUAGCAAAGAGCAUCAGGAUGGGUAUGGUCUUCCCUCCCAGGAUGUCUUCCAGCUCUAUGGAUGCUAUCAGCUGACACGUCUGGCUGGUAUCCUCUGCCAAAAAUACACACGCUCUCAACAUUUCUCAGGAGUUGGGUUUUUUUCCCCCUCUGUGACAUACUCAUGUCAAAUUUCUUCCUGGCUCUGUGAGACACAAGACUGUCCACACCUACCAGAUAAUGAGUUUAACAUUUCAAGGACAGAAGCUCUCAGUCUGAGCAAGACACAGGGUGGAUUUGCAGGCCUGAUUUGGGGUCAAGCCAGAGUUGGAAACCGUUCUGCUCCCUGGAUCCACCUCAGGGGUGUUCUGUCCUGGCCCUCCAUUGGUACAGUUAUCAGGCCAGCAUCAUUCCAGCAACCAGCACAGGGGAAAAACACGCACACACGCCGCCCUCUCUGCCCGUGGCAGCCAGAGCACCUUUCAGAUAUCCUACCUCACCUGCUGACACAAUCCAUCAGCACUCACCGAAAUCAAAUGCAGCUAAUUGGAAGGUGA